rnacentral:tRNA from 1 species
ACCUGGCAGGCUCAGUCAGUAGAGCAUGACACUCUGGAUCUCAAGGUUGUGCGUUCAAGCCCCACGUCGGGUG